UACGUAGGGGGCUAGCGUUGUCCGGAAUCAUUGGGCGUAAAGCGCGUGUAGGCGGCCCGGUAAGUCCGCUGUGAAAAGUCGGGGGGCUCAACCUCGGAUGCCGGUGGAUACUGUCGGGGCUAGAGUGCUGGAAAGAGGCGAGUGGGAAUUCCUGGGUGAUAGCGGGUGGAAAAUACGGCAGAUAUCGGGAAGAACACCCCGUGGCGAAGGCGGGCUCUCUGGGACGGUACUGACGCUGAGACGCGAAAAGCGUCGGGGAGCAAACAGG
rnacentral:rRNA from 1 species